ACUUGGGCAGAGGAUCCUCCUCCUGUCACCAGAGGUGUUGGCUGCACCUCCUUACUCAUGCUCAGCUCCUCUGUUCAACUGCAUCUUCCUGCUCCCUUGUGCAACUGUGAAUCUGCCAGGACUAAUGCUGUGAAAUGUUUUGAGAAGCCUUGGAUGAGCAUGGAGGGAAUGUCUGAGGUCUCCUAACAAGCUUACAGAGAUCUUUCCUCUCCUGUAAACAAAUCAAUCAGCUCUUCCACCUGAAGGUUAAUGAGGCUGAAUUAUUGCAUGAGUUUUGGUGUGAGGGACCUCUGAGUUCUGCAGUCAUAGAAUGAACCAGGCUGGAAGAGACCUCCAAGAUCAGCCAGUCCAACCCAUCAACCAGACCAUGGCACCAAGACAAACCUCUUCAAAACAGAGUGAACUUCAAA